rnacentral:tRNA from 1 species
GCCCUGGUAGCUUAACUUAAAGCAUCGGUUUUGUAAUCCGAAGAUCGAGGGUUAAACCCCCUCCCAGCGCC